rnacentral:tRNA from 1 species
UAGCUCAGUUGGUAGAGCAAUGGAUUGAAAAUCCAUGUGUCCCUGGUUCGAUUCCUGG